AGUCCUGUGGCACCUUAUAGACUAACAGACGUAUAGGAGCAUAAGCUUUCGUGGGUGAAUACCCACUUCGUCGGAUGCAUGUAGUGGAAAUUUUCAGAGGCAGGUUUAAAUAUGCAAGGAAGAAUCAGGCUAGGGAUAAUGAGGUUAGUUCAAUCAGGAAGAAUGAGUCCCUCUUCUAGCAGUUUAGGUGUGAACACCAAGAGAGGC